ACAAGCAGCAACAUGUUUUGAAAAUGAGCUGGCCAAUUUUCCAGUUAAAGAGACCGCAAGUAAUCAACCCGUAGCACCGGAUUCAAGUUUACAGGAUACUUUGUUCGAUUUUUUGGGUGAGCGUUCCAUGAAUAAAUUUGUAAACUCAAGAGUCGAUGCAAUUUUAACUAAGAGGCAGUAUCUGGAAAGGGCAAUUGUCAGACAAGAUAUCGACCCUCUAUUAUGGAUGAAGGUGAAUUAAACUGAUUUCCCUGCCAUUGGGAGCCUUUUCGCCAAAUAUCUUUGCAUUCCGGCUACGUCCGUGUAGUCUGAAAGAACAUUCAGCAAGGCGGGCCAAAUAAUAUCGGAGAGGCGAACCCGGCUCAAAGAAAAAAAUGUUAACAUUCUUUUGUUUUUAAAUCGCAACUCUUGGCUGAAAUAAAGCAUAUUUUAUUGUA